GAUGAACGCUGGCGGCGUGCCUAAUACAUGCCAGUCGAGCGAACGGACGAGAAGCUUGCUUCUCUGAUGUUAGCGGCGGACGGGUGAGUAACACGUGGAUAACCUACCUAUAAGACUGGGAUAACUUCGGGAAACCGGAGCUAAUACCGGAUAAUAUUUUGAACCGCAUGGUUCAAAAGAGAAAGACGGUCUUGCUGUCACUUAUAGAUGGAUCCGCGCUGCAUUAGCUAGUUGGUAAGGUAACGGCUUACCAAGGCAACGAUGCAUAGCCGACCUGAGAGGGUGAUCGGCCACACUGGAACUGAGACACGGUCCAGACUCCUACGGGAGGCAGCAGUAGGGAAUCUUCCGCAAUGGGCGAAAGCCUGACGGAGCAACGCCGCGUGAGUGAUGAAGGUCUUCGGAUCGUAAAACUCUGUUAUUAGGGAAGAACAUAUGUGUAAGUAACUGUGCACAUCUUGACGGUACCUAAUCAGAAAGCCACGGCUAACUACGUG
rnacentral:rRNA from 1 species